UACGAAGGGGGCUAGCGUUGCUCGGAAUUACUGGGCGUAAAGCGCAUGUAGGCGGCAACGCAAGUCGGGCGUGAAAUCCCACGGCUCAACCGUGGAAGUGCACUCGAAACUGCGUAGCUAGAGUCCUGGAGAGGAAGGUGGAAUGCUUGGUGUAGAGGUGAAAUUCGUAGAUAUCAAGCGGAACACCGGUGGCGAAGGCGGCCUUCUGGACAGUGACUGACGCUGAGAUGCGAAAGCGUGGGGAGCAAACGGG
rnacentral:rRNA from 1 species